rnacentral:lncRNA from 1 species
GCAAGCUCAGCCUCCAGGGUUCACGCUAUUCUCCUGCCUCAGCCUCCGGAGUAGCUGGGACUACAGGCGCUCACUACCUCGCCCGGCUAAUUUUUUGUAUUUUUACUAGAGACGAGGUUUCACCGUGUUAGCCAGGAUGGUCUCGAUCUCCUGACCUCGUGAUCCGCCCGUCUCGGCUUCCCAAAGUGUUGGGAUUACAGGCGUGAGCCAGCGCGCCCGGACGAAUAUUUGCUCUUCAACAAUUGCCUUGAAGCACAGAGAUGUGGCCAUCAGUGUGUUGAAUAGGAAUCCUUAUUAUAAGUGGUCAUUGUUCAAGUGAAGGAAAGAAAAAUAAGUCAUGCGAUAAAACUCUUCGGCUGUACAAAACCUAGAAAAUCUUGAAUGUCUUCUUAGAAAUACUUGAAGGUGUUUCUACUUGAAGACCAGAGAGAAAGUGAAGUGGUCUCAAAGUGAAUACAUCCAGAAAGCAGCAUCCAAUAUGGCUCUGCAAUUAAGUUUCUAUUCACUCAACUCAGUAAUUGGCUAAUUAUGUCAUGGUUAUUAUAUGUCUUGUGUUGUUCUUAGUCUAAAUUAGGUUCUGUUCAUUUUGGUUCAAUUUUUAUGAGUAGUUUUCUGGUUCUGGUUUUUCUUUUGUUUCAAUAUAUAGUACUUUCAGGCUAAACAGGCAAUACCUCAGUUUGAAAUGUUUAGGAUAAAUUUGUAACCUUCUAAGUCUUUAUGACUUUAAUUUCUCAAAAACGAAUCCACACAUACUAUUUUUUCUCAACAGAGUACAACAGGUAUGUUUAUGUAAACCCUAAUUUAUCUCAUUAACUGCACAGUUGUGUGUAGAGCUGACAUUUUCUGAUGUCUGAUUCUCAUGUAGAAAUAUCUUCGAUCUAAAUCCUUGCAUUAGUGUCAGGAAAAACUUUCUAGAACACGGUGUCUCUUAUGCUGAAUGUCACCAGAAGGCUCUCCUAUGAUGACUUCUCUUUGUAAGGCAAUCCAUUAGAUGUAUCUUUUACUCUGUUAUAAAUAAUGUCACCUUACCUGGGCUAUGCUCUCUACCAGAAUUGUGAGCACUCAUGUUGGUUCUAUUGACAGUUGUGAUAAAUUGUUAUUCAUCUGCAUGUGUUCUUACACAAUAAAAUUAUGAUUCAUAGAAAAAGUAUCUGAGAUUGCUAGCUGGGGAUAAAUUAACAAUUAAAGGCCAAAGAAUUGAACAAGGAACUGCCAUAGCAAGGCUUCAGAAUGAAAACAAAGGCGUUAAUAUCCGCUUUGCCAAGUAAUUAUAAUUACAUCUUCAAAUGUGUUUUUUUCUCAAACACUAGAAUGAGUAAGUUGUUACUGUAUGAUAUAUAUAGAGAGAUAGAUAGAUAGAUAAAGUGUUUUUUAAAUAGUUUUUUGCAUUAAUCGAAUGUUUACUCUGUACCAGAUUCUAUCCAUGUGAUGUAUGUAUCUGUUAGAUAAUCUAAUCUUCACUUUUAUCCUGUGAAUUUGAUACUAUUACUAUCUCUACUUAAUGGUUAAAAAUUCUGAGGAGCAGCCUGAGAUCUCAUAGCCAGCGAGUACUGGAGUUAAGUUCCAAAUCCAUAUAUCAGUAUUCCAGGCUGCAAAACAGAAUUUAGCAAAGAAAGUUCGUAUAUAUUAAGGGACUUUUAUCUAUAAAGCAUUUUAAUAAUUCUUCACAUGCAGCAUGACUAAUAAAAGUUGAUGGCUUUUCUUAACAAAAAUUCCUAAGAAAGAUGAGAACAGAAACUUCCUGGUUAACUAAUCCCAAAACAGUUUAUGAAACCAUAGUAACAGAAUAAUAGAUUAGCUGAGCACUAUAAUUGGGCAGGGAGGGGGAGAUUUGCACAUUUAAAAUGUAAUUUAGGGAAGCACGCAGAAUUUAUAGUAUUAAAUGAACAGUAAUAUUUCAAUGUUAAAUAUUUUAAGACCUUUAAUUUAUAUUCAAUUCAAAAGAAGAAAUUCGUUUCAAGACUAAUUUCACUAGCAAAGUAGUAGCUCCUUUUUCAUUAUUAAACAAGUAAUAAUAACACGGCACUUGAGUCUUUUAUUCACUUAACAAAUAUUUAUUGAUUCCUACUAUAUGUCAGUCACUCUUCAAAAUCAUUUUAUUUUGACUGCGAACAGGAUAGAAAAUAUUCCUGCACCAGUGGAUUUUCAGAUUACCUAGGACGCAGUUAAAAAAAAUAGGAGAGGGAAUUUUCAAUGAGGAUGCUAUAGUAAAUGCUAAGUUGUAUUAGGCAUUUAUUAUGUGACAGACAUUUUUCUAUAUUUUUUACAUCUAUUACUCUAGUUGGAUUUCACAAUUACACUGUCAUGUAAGAAAUAUUUUCAUUCAUAUUUUUCAGAUGAGGAAACUGAGGCAUAAACAUCUCAUAGUGGGGUUCAAGGCAGGCUAUUUUUUUUAAUUAAUAGACUUCAUUUGCUUAGAUUUAGUUUCACAGAAAAUUGACCAUAUAGAACAAAUAGUUCCUACAUACUCGCUCUCUUUUUUAUUCACUAUUUCCCCUAUUAUUAACAUCUUGCAUUAGUGUGACCCAUUUGACAUAAUUGAAACAGUAUUAAGAUAUUAUUAUUAGCUACAGAAUAUUAACUAAAGUUCACCAUACGUUACUUUUGAGAUCAGUCUUUGCAUUUUACAGUUUUGUGUGUUUUGACAAAUGUAUUAUACAAGGUCAUAUAUCUACUAUUAAAAUAUUAUAAAAUAAUUUUGCUACCCUAAAUAUUCCCUGUGCUCCAUCUAUUCAUUUCUCCUCCCUUCCAUCUUGAAACCACUGAUCUUUCUGCUUCCUCUAUAAUUUUGCCUUUUCCUUUUCCAGAAUGUUAUAAGGGUGGAAUCAUAUAGUGUGCAGCCUUGAAAGAGUGGCUUCUUCCACCAAAUAAUGUGCAUUUAAGGUUCCUUCAUGUCUUUACAUGGCUUGAUAGCUCACUUUUUAUCCCUGAAUAAUAACUCAUUAUACAGAUGUAUCACCAUUUGUUUACCCAUUCAUCUGUUGAAGGGCAUGUUGAUUGCUUCCAGCUUUUGUCAAUUAUGGAUAGGCUGCUAUAAACAUUCAUGUGUAGGCUUUUACCAACACAUUUGGACAAACUCCAAGGAGCACAAUUGCUGGAUUAUGUAAGUAGACUAUGUUUCAUUACGUAAGAAGCUUUCAACCUGUCUUGUAAAGUGGUUCUAUCAUUUUGCAUUCCCACUAGCAAUAAAGGAGAGUUGUUCUACAUUUUUGGAACAUUUGGUGUUGUCAUAUUGGGCAAGGGGUAUUUUAGCUAUUCUAAAAGGGAUCUCAUAAGUUUAAUUUGCAAUAUCCUAAUAAAAUAUGAUGUUGAACAUCUUUUCAUACGAUUAUUUGCUAUUUGUAUAUUGUCUUUGAUGACGUGCCUACUCAGACAUUUUCCCCACUGUUUAAAUGGAUUUUUUGUUUUCCAAUUUGUUUCAUGUGGAC